AACGAACGCUGGCGGCAUGCCUAACACAUGCAAGUCGAACGAGACCGUCGGGUUUUGGGGCGCACGGGUGCGUAACGCGUGGGAACCUGCCCGUAGGUUCGGUAUAACUCCCCGUAAGGGGUGCUAAUACCGGUGAAGCUCUUCCGACCAAAGAUCUAUCGCCGUUGGAUGGGCGCGCGUUGGUUUAGCUAGUUGGUAGGGUAAAAGCCGAGCAAGGCGACGAUCCAUAGCUGGUCGGAGAGGAUGAUCAACCACACUGGGGAUGAGACACGGACCAGACUCGUACGGGAGGGAGCAGUGGAGAAUAUUAGACGCGGGGGGAUGGCGUGAUAACGCAAUGCGGGGGAAGUGAUGCAGGCGGUAGGGUAGUGAAGCUCUUUUAGCCGGGGUGAUAGUGACAGUACCGGGAGAAUAAGCACCGGCUAACUCCGUG
rnacentral:rRNA from 1 species